rnacentral:rRNA from 1 species
CAGUAGCCGCGGUAAUACGUAGGUGGCAAGCGUUGUCCGGAAUUAUUAGGCGUAAAGGGCUCGCAGGCGGUUUCUUAAGUCUGAUGUGAAAGCCCCCGGCUCAACCGGGGAGGGUCAUUGGGAACUGGGAAACUUGAGUGCAGAAGAGGAGAGUGGAAUUCCACGUGUAGCGGUGAAAUGCGUAGAGAUGUGGAGGAACACCAGUGGCGAAGGCGACUCUCUGGUCUGUAACUGACGCUGAGGAGCGAAAGCGUGGGGAGCGAACAGGAUUAGAUACCCGUGUAGUCCCUGUCUCUUAUAC